GGCGUGAUAGCUCAGUUGGGAGAGCAGCAGACUGAAGAUUCAAGCUUUCUGAAGGUCCCGCGUUCAAUCCGCGGUCAUGCCA
rnacentral:tRNA from 1 species